rnacentral:rRNA from 1 species
AAUAUUGCACAAUGGGCGCAAGCCUGAUGCAGCCAUGCCGCGUGUAUGAAGAAGGCCUUCGGGUUGUAAAGUACUUUCAGCAGUGAGGAAGGUGGGUAUGUUAAUAGCAUACUCAUUUGACGUUAGCUGCAGAAGAAGCACCGGCUAACUCCGUGCCAGCAGCCGCGGUAAUACGGAGGGUGCGAGCGUUAAUCGGAAUUACUGGGCGUAAAGCGCAUGCAGGUGGUUUGUUAAGUCAGAUGUGAAAGCCCGGGGCUCAACCUCGGAAUUGCAUUUGAAACUGGCAAACUAGAGUACUGUAGAGGGGGUAGAAUUUCAGGUGUAGCGGUGAAAUGCGUAGAGAUCUGAAGGAAUACCGGUGGCGAAGGCGGCCCCCUGGACAGAUACUGACACUCAGAUGCGAAAGCGUGGGGAGCAAACAGGAUUAGAUACCCUGGGAG